AUAGGGAAAUGCAGGUUUACCAGGAGUCAAGGGAAAGAAAAGAAGCAUGCAGACACACGUUUAACAUAUAAAAACUACAAAAAGUUAAGAAUAAAAGACUGUAGAGUAAGCUCAAAUUUACCACAUAAGUAAAUAGUAUUGCAUCCUGUUUUUGUAAUAUCUGUUGUAUAUACAGUCUAUCUAUACAUCCAUUAUUUAUACCCGCUUAUCCGUGCAGGAAUGUGGGGGCUGGUGCCCAUCUCCAGUGGUCACUGGACAGGAGGUGGGGUAAACCCUGGACAGGUCUGUUUUUUGGACUGUGAGAGAACACCAGAGUACCCAGAGAGAAACCAUCCAUACACAAGGAGAACAUGCAAACUCCGUGCCGAAAGAACUGAGGCUGGGAUUUGAACCUAGGACAUUUUUGCUGCUACCAGCUGCACCGCUGUUCAGCCUUACCGCAGUUUCUUAUUCUUAUUUUUUUGUUGUUGUAAUUCUUUCCUCAGUUUUAAGAUUUUAAUGAGGGUUCUUUUUUUAUAUUGAUACUGUGUCCCUUUUCACACAAGAAAUUGUUAAUAAUGUGAAAAAAAACAUUUUAAAGAAGUAUCUAAUUUAUCAGUAGACUACUUCAAAUGCCAAGUGACAGAACGAAAGAGUGGAUGUAGGUGUGUGCUCAUGGGCCCCACUUGGAAAUCAGAUUCAGCCUAAAUGUGUGGGUUUUUUUUUACAUGUCAUGGCAUUCACAGCCUCCUUCACAGUUACUGGCACCACUGGUAAACAUGUAUAAAGAGAUUUAAAAUAAAUUCAUUAUCAAUUAAAGUAGCACAGUGUGAAACAGAAGAAAUGCCACAGUUUUCACACAGUGAGGUUUGGAGAUUUAUUUAUUUUUUACUUUGAUUGCCACUUUUUCAAAAAUAUAUACUUAUUCAAAAUUGUAUAUCUAUGCACCAGGUAUCCCACAUUUAUGUCAAAAUAGUAAAACUUCCAGUUGUUCUACACAUUUAAGCUAUCGCUUUGACAGUAGUUUGGUCAAGUAGCUACUUUGGUAUAGCUAUUUAGGAACAAAUGAAAUCUAGUAUCUACCUGCAGGGCCCACUCUGGACAGGUGUUCAGUCCAUCUCACCACAUCACAGACACAAACAAGACAAACAAUCAUGCAUGCACACGCUCACUCCAAAUAAUAGUUUAUAGAGGCCAGCAACUUAACUACAUACAUUAGAACUGUGGAAAGAAGCCAGAGUACCCAGAGAGAACCCACAAAUGCACUGGGAGAAGACCUCAGAUGUGGACUCUACCUCAAGAAUAUCUUGUUGCAUUUAAUCAAAUUAAAGGCUGGAUUUCUUUUAGAUAGAUUCAAUUAUUUUAAUGCUUUUUAAACAUCCUUAGUGGUACUGCUGAUUAGGAUUUCAAACAAACUCAUGCUGAUAUAAAUGUUCCUAAUUUGUUAAAUGAAAUGUAACUUACCAGUUACUUAUAAGUUCAAAACUUUGCUAUUUAUAAUUAAAAUGAAACCAGCUCUGCUGCAUAUUUUCACAGAAAUAUGUAACUUGAGUGUUGAAAAUUGUUCUUCGGUUUUUGUGAUCGUACUACACCUAAGUAGUUGUUUUGACAGCAAAGUUAACACUAACCAUGUUAUCUAUUAUCACUGUCUUGGUGAAAUGAAAUAAAAAAAAGACUACUACAUCA